GAUACAUACAUUUUGGCAGGAUGGGCUUAUCACAGGGCUGUGAUGCACCCAGGCCUAAGAAGAGAGAUUUUGGAAUAGGAAGGUCAGGGCACCAGAGUUUGACUCUGAUCUGGGUCCAAACUUGCAGCUUUGAGAGGCAGUGGUGGGAUGGUACAGGAGCUCACUUCUUGGUCCACAAAUGCAUUUUUAAAGUAGUUAUGUAUUUGGAUAUGCAUCUGUUUCUUUUUUUUCUUUUUAUUUGGGAAGCAGGUAGACUCUGUCUCCCAGGCUGGAGCACAACUAAUAGCAACUUUGCCUCCUGGACUGCUCAAGUGAUCCUUCUGCUUCAGCCUCUCAAGCAGCUAGGACGUGUCAAGGGCUUGCUGUAUUUCCCAGGCUGGUUUUGCGCUCCUGAUCUCAAGUGAUUCUUCCACGUUGGCCUCCCAAAGUGCUGGGAGGUAUGAGCCAUCACGCCAAGGAGCUUCUCUCCAAGGCGGGGUAGGGUAACCACCAAGGCAUUCGGUCUCCAUCAAACUGUAGGGUCUGGCUCCACCACUUAUCCGCAUGCAUCCUCAGUUGAAAUGAUUUUACGAGCUUCAAGAUGCUUCAAACUCUAAGUUUACGUGAAAUAAAUGACCUGUUAAGAGACAGAUAACAGCAUAGAAGCAUGUGUUAUAGUGAUACAACCACCUGAAAAUGUUAUAAGCACCUGAUUCUGAUGAGGACUCAGGAGAUGAAGAAGGUGGAAAUAUAAAUAAUCUGCCAGGUUCUUUCUUGUGUAUGC